GCAUAAACAGGGAAGGUAAGAAAUCCCAUCUUUUCAGCAGUCAGACAGAUUUCUCAAGUGGCUUUUUUAAAUAGGUCAUGUGCCUCAUUCAGCAGCUCCAGCUGAUGCUUCCAAAAGAAACCCAUUAACAGAUUCCCCUAUGUGUUCCUUAUUGUUUGCACAGCUUUAAUGGCCCCAUCUGGCAUCAUCUUAAAGCCUCCUGGUCAGAAGCAAAGAGCAGCUUCUGGUUACAGCAGCCUGAGAAGUUGUACUUUACAGCCCCUUUCUCUGCUCACAAGAUCUAACUUUGAGGAUAAAUAAAUGUUUGGAACCAGGCAAGGGUGGGAAGGGACCUCCUGCAACCUGAGUACACCACAGUGGAGAACUUUGGUUAUUUUCCUCUUCCCUCACACUAUGGCAGUACCUGCACACCAGGUGCCUCCUCAUCCUUUGUAGUAACAAAACAGUUUGUGGUACUUCUGAGAGAUUCAUUCCAUGGAAAGAGAAGUGGGAACCAAAGCAUAUCUCCAGUGAUGAGCAAUUAAGGAGGAAGCCUCUGGUACCCCAGACCCUCACUGGCUGAGCAGAUUCCAGUACAGAGGUAUUACACUGCCUCUCAGAGAAGCCUGAACAUCUGUCACCCAGUUCAUUUUAUUGCCAAAGGCUGCUCAGGUGUGAUGCAAUGAUUCUUCUAUGACAGAAGUGUUUGGGUUACCCUUGGCAUCUCCCAGCCAAUGCAGUAAAGAUUAGCAGGACAGGCUGCAGCACACCUGAGGGCAGCAGAGCCCCUGAGUGGCACCUGCUGGUUUGCUGUGGUGACCAGAUAUGACUGACUGAUGGAUGGUUUUAUCUGACUGCUCGGACAUUCUGACAUGGGGCACGUCUCUCCACUUGGGAGGUCUCAGAAUGGCUCUGGGCUUCCAGAUAAACACAGUUUAUCAAUAACAGAUGCUGUUUGGAUACUCUUCAGAAGGUCAUAUCCUCUCCAGGCUUGGCUUAGCUUAUGCUGUUACGGGAGCUCAGCACACCUUAUUGAGAAACCGUCCAUCUUCCAUUCCUGGCAAUGUCCCUGUUACAGUGUCCUUCGGCCUAGAUGACUUGGUGGGUAAGACGAGUGCGGCAACGACAGGAGAGGGUCUUGCCCUUUUCUUUAAGAAAAAAAAAAAAAAAAGAAAACAAAACAACCACAAAAACUUGAAAGUGUUCCAUGCCGCCAGAUACUCCCUUUCUCCAUC
rnacentral:lncRNA from 1 species